UUUCGGUAUUCAUAUAAUUUCCUUUAGACAAGAGAAGGUGGUGUCGAUAAGACGUGAGGUUAUUAUUCAUCAUACGUUCAGCUAUGCUUUAUAUGCCACAUAUAUGUAUAUUUGGAUACGUUUGAUAUAAUACGAUCAUAAUUUUUCCUUUGCGUUAUAUCUUGCAGCUUUAGUAAUUGGUUUAGUGUUGUUGACAGACAUAUGUUCAGUGAGACAAAACGAUGACCACAACGAUGGGGAAUCAUUCAGACUUGAUAGUUUAUAUCUGCGUCCUUUUGUGCAAUACACUACAGAAUACAUCAUAGUAUAUUCAAGUUGCCAACACACUGAUGUGAAGAACCCUUUCCAGAGAAAUAUAGAAGGAAAUGACUGUGAAGCUUGUGUUGGGGAGGAUUCAGUGUCUGUUGAUAAACACGUGAAUGUGCUACAAAGUGAGUUUCAGAAACACAUCCAGACACAUGGACUGUCAAAGACCACACAGGAACAUUCUCCUGGAGACGCUGAGAAAGCACAGAAGGAAUCUCUGUGGAGGAUGUACUCAAACACACCCAGACUUCAGGACACCUGCUGGAGGGGACCCUGCUACAACCUUUCCUACCAUACACCUGAUGUAUAGUGACUGUACAAUGGCAAUCAUACUUAGAGGGUUGAGUGUAAUGACAGAAGAUGUAUUCUGCAUUCAACAUUACAUAUCCAACACAUCUGAGAAAGACACUGACUUCAGAGGCACAUUGUCAUAGAAGAGGGAGACAAUCACUGUCAGUAACUUUACUCUGAAUGAUUUGCCUUUUGUAUUAGAUCCUCAUGGCUUUACUGUACCAAGUGCACUUGAAGGACAUUCACUCUUCUGAAGUUAAUCCAACAUUUUGGGUUUGUACAUGCACAUUAACCAAAUAUUGUAAUGCAAAUAAUUGUAAUAUUUUUUGAUUAUUUAUAAAUCAAGACCUUAACUUGUGGCUGUGAUGACGUCAAAUUUAAAUCAGUCUCAGCAGUAAUACUAUUCCAAUAAAUUUGGUUUAAAUCUUUUUCAAAGGAAUUCAUUUUUACUUUAGGAAUUCCUGUUGUUUUCAUUUUGUUCUCUGCUUUAUUAUGAUUAAUGAAACGCUUUUUAGUUAACUUUCUGAAAAUUAAUGUCAUGUUAUGAUCGGUAAGCCCUUUGAUCAGGUUAUACGUUGUAGUUCUUCUUUCUGGUCUAUUCAGAAAAAUCUAAUCAAUCAAUGUUUCGCUAUGUCUGGUAAUUGUAGUAUGUUUGUUUAUCAUUUGCUUAUAUUUGAACGUGUCCAUCAAAGAUUUCAGCUUUG